GCUUGUAGUUACUUUCUUGCCAUAGAGUUGAACUAGUAAAAGGUGCCCAUGCUGCGAGUGCAGUCGUAACGCUUUGACGUUGGAUCCGAGCCCAUGGAGAAAGUUGGAGCUGUAGAGCUGUAUGUUUUUGGACAAAGUCAUCAAUUCCAUUGCUCUUCCUAUGCCAAGUGGCCAGGAUAAUGGUUGAAAUUGCUACAAUAAAGGUUAUGAUCAACAACAUUUGUUGAAA